AGUGAACGCUGGCGGUAGGCCUAACACAUGCAAGUCGAACGGCAGCACAGUAAGAGCUUGCUCUUACGGGUGGCGAGUGGCGGACGGGUGAGGAAUACAUCGGAAUCUACUUUUUCGUGGGGGAUAACGUAGGGAAACUUACGCUAAUACCGCAUACGACCUACGGGUGAAAGCAGGGGAUCUUUGGACCUUGCGCGAUUGAAUGAGCCGAUGUCGGAUUAGCUAGUUGGCGGGGGAAAGGCCCACCAGGGCGAGGAUCCGUAGCUGGUCUGAGAGGAUGAUCAGCCACACUGGAACUGGGACACGGUCCAGACUCCUACGGGAGGCAGCAGUGGGGAAUAUGGGACAAUGGGCGCAAGCCUGAUCCAGCCAUACCGCGUGGGUGAAGAAGGCCUUCGGGUUGUAAAGCCCUUUUGUUGGGAAAGAAAAGCAGCAGGUUAAUACCCCGCUGUUCUGACGGUACCCAAAGAAUAAGCACCGGCUAACUUCGUG
rnacentral:rRNA from 1 species